CUUCAAUUUGUACCAGAUGAAGAUGUUGGCACGUGGCUUGGUUUUCAUGGUAGUUGUAGUGAUUGUUCAGUCUGGAAUACUUAGAAUAAUAAAAGGCUGUCCAGGUUGCAUUGUAAAAGGUGUUUGUUAUUUUCCCAAUCAAGAGUGGAAACAAGGUUGUUGGACAACGAAAUGUUCUGUUUAUUCGUACGGUCACGUGCAAGGAUGGAGAACAUCGAUAGUGAAAACACAAUGUCCUGGCAGAUAUGGUACCUGUAUUGAUCAUGGCCAACAGAUUUCACAUGGGUGCUAUUGUAAGGUUUCAGGAUUGCAGAUAUCAUAUAUUGGCUAUUGUUAUGGGAAAUAAAAGUGUUUGUGUAAAAUGUAUACCGAACUGUCUUUAGAAUUUACACUUAAAAUAAUAUAAUAAAGAAAUAAAGCAUCGAAUUGCUA